ACCUGCUAACUAGUGUGAUUAAACCCUGUCGGUCACGUGACGUGCCAUAGACUUUCAAUAUAUUCAUUUCAUGUCAAAGAUGUAAAUUUGUAGUAAAAUCAUGGUAACCACGGCACGUACAAUAGCAACAAAUUAAAUUUGAAGUUAAAACCCAGGAACGGGACAUUUACCAUGUUUUUACCUCAGUAACUGUAGUUCUACUAUGGUAUAUUAAUAACCAAUACAACAAUACAACAGUACAACAGUAAUUGUCGUUUUUGAUGUGCUUUUAUAUUACAGAUAUCACACAUUUACUGUACCAUGCUUUUGAUACAUUUUUAUGUAAAUCCAAAAAAAAGUAAAUAAAUAAAAGGACACAUUUUUCCCUUCCUGCAGUUAAUUCAUAUCAGUUUAUAUUUUAAAUAUUUUGCUCACAAAACAUUAUUAAAAUUCUGUUUAUAAUUCUAUUUUAUUCUACCCCUCCCCCUUUCUUAUUUUUAUUAUUAUGUAUUUUUUUAGCUGAAAAGAUGUAAAGGAAGCAGUCAUCCCUGUGGUGUUUGUGGAGAGGUAUUUUUUCAGAAAUGGAGAAGACAGAAAGCUGCGGAGGCAGGCAUUUGCAGCAGAUUGUUUGCAGAAAAUGAUGUUCUUCUCGAUCAUGCACAAGGACUCACCUCUUUAACUCUUUAUCUUCCCAACACACACAGAAAUGCUCCCUUUAUCAGUGUUUAGACUUUGCAGUGCAAUUUUGUUUUAGUUCUAAGCUUAUAAUGAAUACAUUGUGACCUUCCAGCAACCCAUAUAUUGUAUACAGAACCAGUGAUCAGAACAAUGGUUGAAAAUAGUAUUUUUAUAUUGAUAAAGCAUUGUGUUCUCUUUUUCAAGCUUCAUACAGUAAACUUUACUUCUGGUGCUUUUAUCAUAAAAAAACAAACAUCAGUUCUCAUCAGGAGUUUUCGUAAAGGACGUAUUCAUGCACAGCCAUCCCCUAGUUCCAGUCAUGAAGUGAAUGAUGUUAUUGUCAGUUUUAUUUCUGCAUUUUUAUGUAGCAGGUGUUUGUUUUCCUGAGCGUUAUCUUUCUUCCAUUGUUCGGACAAUCAGUGUUUAUUUGAUGCUGUGCUGAUGGAGGUUUAUAGAUGAUAUUGCACACUUGACAUGCAUGUCUUCAUGGUUUUUAUUUUCUGAGUUUGAAACAGUGUGUUGUAUCACUUUUUGGUCAAAUAAAUUCUCCAGUGUUCUCUGAAA